UACGGAGGGUGCAAGCGUUAUCCGGAUUCACUGGGUUUAAAGGGUGCGUAGGUGGAUUGGUAAGUCAGUAGUGAAAUCUCCGGGCUUAACCCGGAAACUGCCAUUGAUACUAUCAGUCUUGAAUACCGUGGAGGUCAGUAGAAUAUGUCAUGUAGCGGUGAAAUGCUUAGAUAUGACAUAGAAUACCAAUUGCGAAGGCAGCUGGCUACACGAAUAUUGACACUCAGGCACGAAAGCGUGGGGAUCAAACAGG
rnacentral:rRNA from 1 species